GUUAUAUGAUCAAGUAAUUAAGAGCACAAGGCGGAUGCCUUGGCAGCUGAAGGCGAUGAAGGACGUAGUAACUUGCGAUAAGCUUCGGGGAGGUGGUAAACAACCUUUGAUCCGGAGAUUUCCGAAUGGGGGAACCCAGUGUGCAUAAGCACAUUAUCUUAUACUGAAUACAUAGGUAUAUGAAGCAAACCUAGGGAACUGAAACAUCUAAGUACCUAGAGGAAAAGAAAUCAAUAGAGAUUCCGGUAGUAGCGGCGAGCGAAACCGGACCAGCCCUUAAGCUUUUUUAAGAUUAGCAAAACAGACUGGAAAGUCUGGCCAUAGUAGGUGAUAGCCCUGUAUGCGAAAAUCUUUUAAGAGUGAAAUCGAGUAGGUCGGAACACGUGAAAUUCUGACUGAAUAUGGGGGGACCAUCCUCCAAGGCUAAAUACUCUCAGCUGACCGAUAGUGAACUAGUACCGUGAGGGAAAGGCGAAAAGAACCCCGGCGAGGGGAGUGAAAUAGAACCUGAAACCUUGUGCUUACAAGCAGUCGGAGCAGACUUGUUCUGUGACGGCGUACCUUUUGUAUAAUGGGUCAACGACUUAAUUUCAGUAGCAAGCUUAACCGCAUAGGGGAGGCGUAGGGAAACCGAGUCUUAAUAGGGCGCUCAGUUGCUGGAAUUAGACCCGAAACCGGGUGAUCUAUCCAUGGCCAGGGUGAAGGUUAGGUAACACUGACUGGAGGCCCGAACCCACUUAUGUUGAAAAAUGAGGGGAUGAGCUGUGGAUAGGAGUGAAAGGCUAAUCAAACCCGGAGAUAGCUGGUUCUCUUCGAAAACUAUUUAGGUAGUGCCUCAUGUAUUACCAUUGGGGGUAGAGCACUGUUUCGGCUAGGGGGUCAUCCCGACUUACCAACCCGAUGCAAACUCCGAAUACCAAUGAGUACGAGCAUGGGAGACAGACUGCGGGUGCUAACGUCCGUAGUCGAGAGGGAAACAACCCAGACCGUCAGCUAAGGUCCCAAAUUAUUAUUAAGUGGGAAACAAUGUGGGAAGGCACAAACAGCUAGGAGGUUGGCUUAGAAGCAGCCAUCCUUUAAAGAAAGCGUAAUAGCUCACUAGUCGAGUCGGCCUGCGUGGAAGAUAUAACGGGGCUAAAUAAUAAACCGAAGCUACGGAUCUUAAAUUUAUUUAAGAUGGUAGAAGAGCGUUCUGUAAGCGGUUGAAGGUGUGCUGUAAGGCAUGCUGGACGUAUCAGAAGUGCGAAUGUUGACAUGAGUAACGAUCAAAGAGGUGAAAAACCUCUUCGCCGAAAAUCCAAGGUUUCCUGUCCAACGCUAAUCGUGGCAGGGUGAGUCGGCUCCUAAGGCGAGGGCGAAAGCCGUAGUCGAUGGAAAACAGGUUAAUAUUCCUGUACUUCUUAUAAUUGUGAUGGGGUGACGGAGAAGGUUAGGCUAGCACGGCGACGGUUGUCCGUGUUUAAGGUUGUAGGCUGAGAUUUUAGGUAAAUCCGGAAUCUCUUAAGGCUGAGAACUGAUGACUACCACUCUUCUGAGUGGCGGUAGUUGAUACCAUGCUUCCAGGAAAAUCCUCUAAACUUCAGAUUAUAAGAAACCGUACCCCAAACCAACACAGGUGGAUAAGCUGAGAAGGCUAAGGUGUUUGAGAGAACUAUGGUGAAGGAACUAGGCAAAAUGGUACCGUAACUUCGGGAGAAGGUACGCCGCGUCCGGUGAUGAGACUUGCUCUCUGAAGCUAGACACGGUUGAAAAUACUAGGUGGCUGCGACUGUUUACUAAAAACACAGCACUCUGCAAAAUCGUAAGAUGACGUAUAGGGUGUGACGCCUGCCCGGUGCCGGAAGGUUAAUUGAUGGGGUUAGCUUAGGCGAAGCUCUUGAUCGAAGCCCCGGUAAACGGCGGCCGUAACUAUAACGGUCCUAAGGUAGCGAAAUUCCUUGUCGGGUAAGUUCCGA
rnacentral:rRNA from 1 species